rnacentral:rRNA from 1 species
AACGAACGCUGGCGGCAGGCUUAACACAUGCAAGUCGAACGGAUCCUUCGGGAUUAGUGGCAGACGGGUGAGUAACGCGUGGGAACGUACCCUUUGCUACGGAAUAACUCAGGGAAACUUGAGCUAAUACCGUAUGUGCCCUACGGGGGAAAGAUUUAUCGGCAAAGGAUCGGCCCGCGUUGGAUUAGCUAGUUGGUGGGGUAAUGACCUACCAAGGCGACGAUCCAUAGCUGGUCUGAGAGGAUGAUCAGCCACACUGGGACUGAGACACGGCCCAGACUCCUACGGGAGGCAGCAGUGGGGAAUAUUGGACAAUGGGCGCAAGCCUGAUCCAGCCAUGCCGCGUGAGUGAUGAAGGUCUUAGGAUUGUAAAGCUCUUUCACCGGUGAAGAUAAUGACGGUAGCCGGAGAAGAAGCCCCGGCUAACUUCGUG